CCUACGGGUGACAGCAGUGAGGAAUAUUGGUCAAUGGGCGCGAGCCUGAACCAGCCAAGUAGCGUGAAGGAUGACUGCCCUACGGGUUGUAAACUUCUUUUAUAAAGGAAUAAAGUGAGGCACGUGUGCCUUUUUGUAUGUACUUUAUGAAUAAGGAUCGGCUAACUCCGUGCCAGCAGCCGCGGUAAUACGGAGGAUGCGAGCGUUAUCCGGAUUUAUUGGGUUUAAAGGGGGCGUAGAUGGGUUGUUAAGUCAGUGGUAAAAUUUUGCGGCUCAACCGUAAAAGUGCAAUUGAUACUGGUAGUCUUGAGUACAGGUGAGGUAGGCGGAAUUCGUGGUGUAGCGGUGAAAUGCUUAGAUAUCACGAAGAACACCGAUGGCGAAGGCAGCUUACUAAACUGCCACUGACAUUGAUGCUCGAAAGUGUGGGUAUCAAACAGGAUUAGAUACCCGAGUAGUC
rnacentral:rRNA from 1 species